rnacentral:rRNA from 1 species
AGCAGCCGCGGUAAUUCCAGCUCCAAUAGCGUAUAUUAAAGUUGUUGCAGUUAAAAAGCUCGUAGUUGAAUUUCGGGAUCAAUUUGUUGGUCGUACCUUGGUACGUACUGGCAUUAUUGGUUUCUCCCUUCUGAGAAUUCUUGAUGUCAUUAAUUUGGUGUCUUGGGGAAUCAGGACUGUUACCUUGAAAAAAUUAGAGUGUUUAAAGCAGGCAUACGCUUGAAUACAUUAGCAUGGAAUAAUGAAAUAGGACGCUCGAUUCUAUUUUGUUGGUUUCUAGGAUCGAUGUAAUGAUUAAUAGGGAUAGUUGGGGGCAUUAGUAUUCAAUUGUCAGAGGUGAAAUUCUUGGAUUUAUUGAAGACUAACUACUGCGAAAGCAUUUGCCUAAGGAUGUUUUCAUUAAUCAAGAACGAAAGUUAGGGGAUCGAAGACGAUCAGAUACCGUCGUAG